UACGAAGGGGACUAGCGUUGUUCGGAAUUACUGGGCGUAAAGCGCACGUAGGCGGAUUUGUUAGUCAGGGGUGAAAUCCCGGGGCUCAACCUCGGAACUGCCUUUGAUACUGCAAGUCUCGAGUCCGAUAGAGGUGGGUGGAAUUCCUAGUGUAGAGGUGAAAUUCGUAGAUAUUAGGAAGAACACCGGUGGCGAAGGCGGCCCACUGGAUCGGUACUGACGCUGAGGUGCGAAAGCUAGGGGAGCAAACGGG
rnacentral:rRNA from 1 species